AGCUUUAAGUAUUAUCUUUAAAGUUUUACCUGCUCAAUGUUGUUUAAUGAAUAGCCGCGGUACAUUGACCGUGCAAAGGUAGCAUAAUUAAUUGGUUUUUAAUUGGGGCCUUGUAUGAAUGGAGUUACGGAUCCUAACUGUCUUUGGUUUACUUUUUCGAAAUUACUUUUUUGGUGAAAAAGCCUUUUUUAGCAAAAAGACGAGAAGACCCUAAGAAUUAUAUUGAAGACACUGUUUUUAGGUAUUAAAAUUUUGUUGGGGCAACAUAAAAGCAUUUUAAUCUUUUAAAUAAAAAUUUUUUUGUUUUGUAGUAAUUUUAAAAUUACCUUAGGGAUAACAGCAUAAUUUUAGUGAUAAGUUUGUGACCUCGAUGUUGGAUUGGGGACUUGAAGGAUUAGUAAUUGUUCAAUGAUGUUCUGUUCGAACAAUAUUCCCC
rnacentral:rRNA from 1 species